rnacentral:misc_RNA from 1 species
UCUCCGUUGGUGAACCAGCGGAGGGAUCAUUACAGGACUCGCAAGACUCCUACAACCCUGUGAACUUAACUAUAAGCACGUUGCUUCGGCGGGUGUCUCGGAAGGGGUUCUCCCUCCCCGAGACGCUAAACCCGCCCGCAGCCUACUAUACUCUGUCUCUUUGCGUUGGCAUCUCGAGUACAAUCAAACAAGUUAAAACUUUCAACAACGGAUCUCUUGGUUCUG